GAGUUUGAUCCUGGCUCAGGACGAACGCUGGCGGCGUGCUUAACACAUGCAAGUCGAACGGUGACGCUGGAGCUUGCUCCAGCUGAUCAGUGGCGAACGAGUGAGUAACACGUGAGCAACCUGCCCUUGACUCUGGGAUAACCCCGGGAAACCGGAGCUAAUACCGGAUACGAACCGCAUAGGCAUCUGCGCGGUUGGAAAGAUUUAUCGGUCAAGGAUGGGCUCGCGGCCUAUCAGCUUGUUGGUGGGGUAAUGGCCCACCAAGGCGACGACGGGUAGCCGGCCUGGGAGGGCGACCGGCCACACUGGGACUGAGACACGGCCCAGACUCCUACGGGAGGCAGCAGUGGGGAAUAUUGCACAAUGGGCGAAAGCCUGAUGCAGCGACGCCGCGUGAGGGACGAAGGCCUUCGGGUUGUAAACCUCUUUCAGCAGGGAAGAAGCGAAAGUGACGGUACCUGCAGAAGAAGCACCGGCUAACUACGUGCCAGCAGCCGCGGUAAUACGUAGGGUGCAAGCGUUGUCCGGAAUUAUUGGGCGUAAAGAGCUCGUAGGCGGUCUGUCGCGUCUGCUGUGAAAACCUAGGGCUUAACCCUGGGCCUGCAGUGGGUACGGGCAGACUAGAGUGCGGUAGGGGAGACUGGAAUUCCUGGUGUAGCGGUGAAAUGCGCAGAUAUCAGGAGGAACACCGGUGGCGAAGGCGGGUCUCUGGGCCGUAACUGACGCUGAGGAGCGAAAGCAUGGGUAGCGAACAGGAUUAGGUACCCUGGUAGUCCAUGCCGUAAACGUUGGGCGCUAGGUGUGGGGCUCAUUCCACGAGUUCUGUGCCGCAGC
rnacentral:rRNA from 1 species